AAAUUGAAGAGUUUGAUCAUGGCUCAGAUUGAACGCUGGCGGCAGGCCUAACACAUGCAAGUCGAGCGGUAGCACAGAGAGCUUGCUCUCGGGUGACGAGCGGCGGACGGGUGAGUAAUGUCUGGGAAACUGCCUGAUGGAGGGGGGAUAACUACUGGAAACGGUAGCUAAUACCGCAUAACGUCGCAAGACCAAAGUGGGGGACCUUCGGGCCUCAUGCCAUCAGAUGUGCCCAGAUGGGAUUAGCUAGUAGGUGGGGUAACGGCUCACCUAGGCGACGAUCCCUAGCUGGUCUGAGAGGAUGACCAGCCACACUGGAACUGAGACACGGUCCAGACUCCUACGGGAGGCAGCAGUGGGGAAUAUUGCACAAUGGGCGCAAGCCUGAUGCAGCCAUGCCGCGUGUGUGAAGAAGGCCUUCGGGUUGUAAAGCACUUUCAGCGGGGAGGAAGGCGUUAAGGUUAAUAACCUUGGCGAUUGACGUUACCCGCAGAAGAAGCACCGGCUAACUCCGUGCCAGCAGCCGCGGUAAUACGGAGGGUGCAAGCGUUAAUCGGAAUUACUGGGCGUAAAGCGCACGCAGGCGGUCUGUCAAGUCGGAUGUGAAAUCCCCGGGCUCAACCUGGGAACUGCAUUCGAAACUGGCAGGCUAGAGUCUUGUAGAGGGGGGUAGAAUUCCAGGUGUAGCGGUGAAAUGCGUAGAGAUCUGGAGGAAUACCGGUGGCGAAGGCGGCCCCCUGGACAAAGACUGACGCUCAGGUGCGAAAGCGUGGGGAGCAAACAGGAUUAGAUACCCUGGUAGUCCACGCCGUAAACGAUGUCGAUUUGGAGGUUGUGCCCUUGAGGCGUGGCUUCCGGAGCUAACGCGUUAAAUCGACCGCCUGGGGAGUACGGCCGCAAGGUUAAAACUCAAAUGAAUUGACGGGGGCCCGCACAAGCGGUGGAGCAUGUGGUUUAAUUCGAUGCAACGCGAAGAACCUUACCUGGUCUUGACAUCCACAGAACUUUCCAGAGAUGGAUUGGUGCCUUCGGGAACUGUGAGACAGGUGCUGCAUGGCUGUCGUCAGCUCGUGUUGUGAAAUGUUGGGUUAAGUCCCGCAACGAGCGCAACCCUUAUCCUUUGUUGCCAGCGGUCCGGCCGGGAACUCAAAGGAGACUGCCAGUGAUAAACUGGAGGAAGGUGGGGAUGACGUCAAGUCAUCAUGGCCCUUACGACCAGGGCUACACACGUGCUACAAUGGCAUAUACAAAGAGAAGCGACCUCGCGAGAGCAAGCGGACCUCAUAAAGUAUGUCGUAGUCCGGAUUGAGUCUGCAACUCGACUCCAUGAAGUCGGAAUCGCUAGUAAUCGUAGAUCAGAAUGCUACGGUGAAUACGUUCCCGGGCCUUGUACACACCGCCCGUCACACCAUGGGAGUGGGUUGCAAAAGAAGUAGGUAGCUUAACCUUCGGGAGGGCGCUUACCACUUUGUGAUUCAUGACUGGGGUGAAGUCGUAACAAGGUAACCGUAGGGGAACCUGCGGUUGGAUCACCUCCUUACCUUAAAGAA
rnacentral:rRNA from 1 species